CGCAAGCGCUCCGUUCGCGCCCGCGUCUCUCGCUGACUGACCGCCCGGCCGGCCAGCUGAGGAGCAGCCGCCGCCGGGCCCUGCCGCCGCCGCCGCCCCCGGAGCGCCGCGCCCCCCGCCGCCCCCUCCCGGCCCGGCCCGGCCGCCCCGCCGCGCCGCCGCCCCGCGGCCCCGGCCGGAGGAGACAGGGUGUGUUGCUCUUGACUGGGCUGCGGGGGAACACCUUCCAGCAAAGGGCUUUUUCAGAGGAGGGCACCGACAGUGUUCCCCUCACACCCGGGUCGGCAGUAGCGCCGAGACACAGCCCGGACACUCGACACGGAUGUGACGCCCAGAAGUGCGGACGGUGGUCUGUCUGGGUCCUCUGUUGAGCUUGCUCAUCUUGGGGUGAUUGUGCCACUUGCUGUGAGCGCGUCAGCCCCGGUGACCCCAGGAAGGCGCUGGCCCUGAGUCGCAGACUUCUCCAGACAGCGGGAGGAUUCAGGUACCAAAGCGGGCUUCUUCAUCACAGACCCUCAGGGGCCCUCAGGUUAAGGAGUUGCUCAAGACAGAG
ensembl:lncRNA